ACGGGGUGCAGCAGGCGCGAAACCUCUGCAAUAGGCGAAAGCCUGACAGGGUUACUCUGAGUGAUUCCCGCUAAGGGGAUCUUUUGGCACCUCUAAAAAUGGUGCAGAAUAAGGGGUGGGCAAGUCUGGUGUCAGCCGCCGCGGUAAUACCAGCACCCCGAGUGGUCGGGACGAUUAUUGGGCCUAAAGCAUCCGUAGCCGGUCAUGCAAGUCCUCCGUUAAAUCCACCUGCUUAACAGAUGGGCUGCGGAGGAUACUACAAGGCUAGGAGGCGGAAGAGGCAAGCGGUACUCAGUGGGUAGGGGUAAAAUCCUCUGAUCCAUUGAAGACCACCAGUGGCGAAGGCGGCUUGCCAAUACGCACUCGACGGUGAGGGAUGAAAGCUGGGGGAGCAAACCGGAUUAGAUACCCGGGUAGUCCCAGCUGUAAACGAUGCAGACUCGGUGAUGGGCCGGCUUUAUGCCGGCUCAGUGCCGCAGGGAAGCCGUUAAGUCUGCCGCCUGGGGAGUACGGUCGCAAGACUGAAACUUAAAGGAAUUGGCGGGGGAGCAC
rnacentral:rRNA from 1 species